GUGUGUGUGUGUGUGUGUGUGUCUGUGUGUGUGUGUGUGUGUGUGUGUGUGUGUGUGUGUCUGAGGAGGUCGACCAUGUGGCCGGUCCCUCACUAGCCUGGGGGUUUUAGAUAUCUCCCUGCUAGGCGGCCCCAGCACACCCUGGUGUCUGAGGAGGUCGACCUUCUGGCCGGCCCUUCCCAAGCAUGGGGCUGAAGAGGUUUCCCUGCUGGCCGGCCCCAGUCCAGCCGGGGGGCUGAUGAGGUCGACGUGCUGGCCGGCCCCCGUCCAGCCAAGGAGCUGAUGAGGUCGACCUGUCGGCUGGACCCUCCCAAGCCUGGGGGCUGUAGAUGGCUCCCUGCCGGCAGCCCCAGCCCUGUGGGAGUCUGAGGAGUUCGACCUGCUGCCCGACACCAGUCCAGCCUAUAGGCUGAGGAGGUCGACCUGCUGGCGGGACCCUGAGCAGACUGUGGGCUGAGAGGUGUAUGUGCCGGCCAGCCCCAGCUGAGCCUGGGGGCUGAGGAAGUCGAGCAGCUGGCAUGUCCCAGCCUAUCCUUCGGGCUGAGAAUUUCCUCAUGCAUUCAAUUAUUUGCUUCGGGGCUCUGCAAGUCCACCUUUCUGCCGGCCACAGCCCAGCCGAGGGGCUUAGGCCGUCGACUUGCUGGCCGGCUCCAGCUGUCCGUAGACUCUGGAUAUGGACCUGCUGCCCGGCCCCCUCCCAGCCUAGGUGCUAAUGAGGUCGACCUGCUGGCCGGCCUCACCCCAGCCUGCAGUGUGCGGAUGUCGACCUGCUAGUCGGCCCCUCCCCAGCCUGUGUGCUGGGGAGGUCGACCUGCUGGGAGGCCCCAGCCCAGCCUCGAAUCUAAGAAGGUUGACCUGCUGGCCGGCCCCUCCCGAACCUGGGGGCUGAGGAGGUUGACCUUCUGGCCAGGCCCAACCCACUCUGUGGUCUGAGGAGGUCGACCAGGUGGCCGGCCCCUCCCUAGCCUGGGGGCUUUAGAUAUCUCCCUGCUAGACUUCUCCUGUCUCAACCACUGCUCCCCUCAGCAGUGUGUUUCAUUCAGUUUGCCUGUUCUGCUCCCCACUCUGUGUCUGGUCAAUCCUCUUAGCCCCCUCACCUCUAGCCUACAUCCCAGUUCUUCUGUGCAUAAAUAAAUAUAUCUUUAAAAAAUAAAUAAAAAUAAAAUAAAGUUAUUGAAUGCAACUUACUCAUUUUGCAUUGGUCCGAUUCACUUUAACCACUGAAUCUGAAGCAGAAUUGACAUUCACUGAACACAUACCUUACCAUAACUCUGCUUUUAUUGCUGAAUGUCAGAUGAACUGGUCAAGUUAGCAACAAUAUAAUUAUGCUUAUUUCCUUGCUAAUGUAUAUCUACUCUUUUCAAUUUUUUAUUUAAUGUUUUUGAAUUAACAUUGUUUUACAACUUUAUAUAGUUUUCGGAUCAGAUGACAGCACUAGAGUUGAAUAUCUGUAUUAUGUACUACAUCACAAUCUCCACCAAAUUUGCUUUCCAUCCUCCACCUUGACCCUUCAUUUUAAAAAAUCAUUUAUUUAUUAAGAACUGGGGUGCAGGCCAGAGGUACUGUAUCCUGGUGGGUGAGAGGAUUCACCAGAGACGGAGUGGGAAAUAGAACAGGCAGACUGACUACUUUUUAAAGAAAGAUUGAACAAGUUGAUAAGGCUAGCAGGCUGACACCAAUGGAAAGGUUCACCUCCUAGAUGGGAUCCUGACCCAGAAACCACUCUAUAAAAUGACUAGGGAUCUAGUCAGAGAAGCAGUGGGCAUUUUUGGGCAGUUGAUUGUUGGAAAUAUUCAAGGACAGUAGCAUAUGGCUUGAGACAUGUUUCCAAAACUGAGAGCUUGGAGACAGAGACUGGUCUGUGCAGGAAUAUAAGUUCUAAAACGCUGAAGGCAAUGAAAAUCAAGACUGAAGUUGGGUCUAUUCACCAAACUUCACAGUUUUUCAGUGGUAAAAUAUGUAUGAAAAGUGUAAGGACAAGAAUGUGCUAACCUGGGAUGCCCUGAGAGGUCAGAGAUGAAACAAAACUGUUUUGCCAAAAGAACAAAUGAUAGACAAAAGUAACAGAUAUGAUUGGAAAUGUUUUGGGCUGAAUUGUAUCCCUCUUAAAAUUCAUAUGUUAAAACCCUGUCCCCAGGGUGACUGUAAUUGGUGGUAAGAACUUUGCAGAGGUAAGUAAGUUAUUAAAAGUCAUAGAGUAUGGCCAAAUCCAGUAGGACUGGUGUCACUAUUGAAAAUGAAUAAACGCCAAGUAUUUACCCAAAGAAAGGACAUACCCUGUGAGGACACAGUGGUAAGGCAAACCAUCUCCAAGCCAAGGAGAAAGGUUCUGUCAGAGACCAACACUAACAGUAUUUUAAUCUGAACUUCCAGCCACCAGAGCUGAGAAAACAAAUAUCUGUUAUUUAAGCACCCAGUGUGAGUUACUUUGUCAUGGUCACUGGAACAGACAAAUACAGGAAUAUACAAUUUAAAGUUUCCAACUUUAAAGAAGAAUGAUCCAUGUUUUUGGCUAAUUCCUUAAGUAGAAUGUCUUGGUAAAUAAAUAAAGGAGUAUGUUUUGAGCCAUUUCAUAUAGCAGUAAAAAGAAAUAAUAGAUGCAGGGCCUCUCCCUCAUGGUGCAAGGGGUUAAGUCGCAACACCAUGGAGGUAUCCGCAGCCAGUGCAGCACAAGUUCAAUCCCCACCUAGGGAGGUGACCCACAUGGCACAGCAGACCUCUCCUGUCUUGCCUGUUACUUCCCAGUACUGUAUUUCAGUCAGCCUGCCUGUUCUGCUUCCCACUCUGACUGGUGAAUCCUCUCACCUCCUGCACCUCUUGCCUGCACCCCAGCUAUUAUAUGCAUAAAUAAAUAGAUCUAAGAAAAAUAACAUAUUGGGGCAAAUGAGAUUUUUAAAAUAUUUGAGCAAAGACAUUUUUCUUCUCCUUUAUUUUUCCCUGAUAUUAACUAUAUCUCAAACUUUUCACAAAGGUUUCAGUAGAACACCCCAAGGUGCCAUGAGUUUGUCAGCCACUAAUCCAAAGUCUAGUUGAAGCUUUGAUACAAUCUGGGAUAUCAUGGCAAAAUCACUUACAUUUUGGUGUCUCAAUUUCCACAUUUUAAGAAAAUUUGGAUUAGACUAGCACUACUAAUGUGUGAAUGAGGUUUACUGCAAUCACAAGAUCAAAAAUCCGUGCAGAAACAUAGACUGUGCAAGCUUGAAUAGACCUCUCUGUCACAGAAUUUCUUGGAGCAUUUUAAAGUCAAUGUGCUCUACAAAGCCACAAGGAAAGGAUACCACACACAAUAUCCCUCACGUGUUGUUUUGGCACACAGCACUGGAGACAGGUUACAUUAGGAAGAGGCUACUAUUCGCUAUAAUUCCCCCUGGAUCCCAAAUGGUCAGAUCCCUUUGCUCAUAAUGUAUUAUGGUCACAUCCAGAGCCUCCUAGUUCUUUGACUGUUUAUUCACUAAGAAAGAGUAAUAAUGAAGUGAAGGGUGUUUUAGGAGGUCUACAUCCCAGAAAAAAAUCCUUAAGAAACCACAACUAUGCUCUAUACUCCAGGAAACAAGAAUCUUUAAAGGGAUAAUUAGUGGAGGAUUUGAAACUCCACACACUCUCUGCACUUUCCAUUUUUAAGGAAGUUUCCUUAAAAUGUACCUGUUUUCCUAUUUCAGUCUGUUUCAGCAUUUUUUAAAGAUUUAUUUAUUUAUGAAUACAAGAGCUGGGGCACAGGCCAGAGAUGCGGGGGUGGUGGUGGUGAAAGGAUUCCCCAGAGACAGUGUGGGGAACAGAACAGGCAGACUGACUGAAAUACACUGCUGAGGGGAGCAGUGGGCUGGACAGGAGAGGUCUGCUGCGCCAUGUGGGUAGCCCCCUGGCUGGCCAAGGGAUCGAACUUAUGCUGCAGAAGCUGCCGAUUGCUUCAUAGUGUGGUGCUUAACCCCAUGUGCCACCAGGGAGGCCCUGUUUUAACAUUCUUUUGUUAUAAAGACAUAUGUGAUAUUUGGGUUUUGCUGUUUGUGUCCCAUAGCAUAGAAUAAUAUAUUCAUGCAAACAAAGAAAUGGACUUGAAAAUUAAUUGGAGGAAAAUGCAGGAGAUAAAUGGACAAGUAGUUAUUUAUAAAUGGGAAUUCAGCAAAAUUAUUAGGAGACAAGUGUGUCAUGCUGACCAUUGCCAAUCAUCUUGACCAAGGUUCUUUUGGAGGAAUAAGUAAUUGCUUGCUUUUGGCAUCAUUCUCACCAUGGACAUAUGUUUUGCAUUGUCAAAUGGUUCCUUAGGAUCAAGAUGAUAUAGUAUAAUGCAGCUAGGUUCAUUUAAUUUGCAUUAAACAAUGCACAAUGUACUAGUUUUUCUGUACUUUUUUUCUUGACCUUAUAGAAAUGGCCUCAGAUAGACUCAUUGACCUUCAAUCAUAAAUCAGCCCUUUACUGGUAAAGAGGUGAAGUGGAUUAACAAUGGAUUUACUUGUAAAUUGAGAAGAGAUAAAUCUUUGUUCCCUCCAGGGUAGUGCUGUAUUUAUAGAUUGGAAGGCAGAACCACGUUUCAAAAAGCACUUUACAGGAAGGUCACAACCUCAGGAGAUUUUUUAAGCGUGAUAUGAAACCACUGCCAUCCAUGGAGGGCCUGGAAAGAUCUUAGAAUAUUGGUAGGUGGCAUUUUUAAUAAUGAAUGGUACGUACUUAACAAAACUUUGUCUUGGUCAGCUAUAAGACAAGGGGUUUUCUGAAAAGUUAAUGUAAUCACCGAAACCGAAAAGUUUAUGUCAUCACCUGUAUUGUCUAAAUUGUCUAAACAUUUUUCUUUUUCAGUCAUAUGUCCUUGGGCAGCUUCUAGGAGCAAGGAAGGCAAACAGAGUGUAUACUGAUGGGAGAAGAGGUACAGCGCCUUUAAUAUCCCAGGUCCAACUUUGAAUCAACAAGUGCUCACAUUCUCGUGGUUGCCUUCCUCAACACAAGAGACAUCCUAAGUUUUCUAAUUACCAAACAAGCGAACACACACAAAAACAACCUCCCCCAAACCCAGCAGCUGAAACAGAGCUAAGAGGCGGGGACAUGAUGUUUUCAACAUAGACCAACACUGCUCGCUCCCUUGUCAUACCGUGCAUAUUAAAUCAGAUGACCGUCAUAGUUGUACAGUGCCUCGAUCACCACAAAGGUCGCUGCAGAAGAGUGUCAGCGGAGCAGACACAGCCCCCUCUGCUCCAGUUGAAACUUUGACAUAAUUGACAUCAUUUUUCUCCGUUCCCACUCAUUCUACUUUGUACCGCUGUGCUUCAGCCAGUCUUCCACCGGUCUUCAUUGAUUGCCUCUUGGGAAGACUUAGUUGGGAUAUACCCAUCAGGUUAUGGUUGUGACAAAUACCAGUGUUCGGUUAUUUCAGGCAUAUAAGUAUCAGGCGUCCCUCAGGUCGUAAAAUAGCUCUUCCUACUCACAAUGUGAGUUCCCCCACCUGUCACAGUGAGCAGGAUCAUUACUAGUCAAACAAUUAUGGCAACUAGAUCAUCAUCAAUAGAUAAAAUCUUUUAUUUGCCUAUUAGCAUGCCAGCAUAAAUGCACAAAAUAUGUAGCCCUUUGUAUCUUUAAUUUUAGUGGUAUUCUCAUUGUAAUGUCUUGUAAAAUCAUUUUCCCACCCCCACCCCAUGGAGGCAAGAUUUUUAUUUCAGUGAAAUUAACUUUUACAGAUGAGAAGUGUAAAUUACAUUAAGUGGUCAGUAUGAAUGAUGGUGACUAGAGCUCAUCGUACUUCCAUUCCUUAACUCUCAGACCCAUCUCGUCUAGCUACUGGGGAUACAGCACCAUAAAUAGUCCAAUAGUUUAGUUUUAUAUACUGUGCUCAGCUCCUCAGGGUACUGUCUCCAGCCAGCCCCUUUGCUGGUUUAAUUGAUCAUUCUGUAUUCUUAUUAUUCUGGACUCUCUUGAUGCUCCUGCAUAUGUCAGAGCAAUGAUUGCUAUAUGCCUAUUAGUCCAAAUUAUUGUUUUUCGUCUAAGGCAAUGCAAUGUGAAUUCCCAUGUUGUUAACCAAGCUUCUGUAAUUUUCAGACGGUGGUACUAGAAGACACUUACAAGCUAAGAAAUAUCUGGAGGAUAUGGAGAGAUAAAUCACUGCACCUUCCAAGAUGUAAGCCUUCUGAUAAAAUCACCUGCCACUAAAUGACUCCCUGGUUUUCAAGAUAUAAGUUACUUCAUCAUAUACACAUAUCUUUCAUCCAAGCUUACUUAUCCUCAGUAUUUCGAUCUUAUUUUUUUCUAGGAUUCUGAACAACCACACAAACUAUUCUUUAAUGCCCAGAAAUGUAUGGCUUCUUCUACUUAAUCCAUUUCUUCUAUACAACGUGAAGAAAACAAGUGCAAAGGAUAGACUAAGGUCAUGGACUACAGGUGCUUUGCUGGUAGGUUAACUAUGGCGACCACACUUGAGGGGAGAAAUCCUACACUAACAAAGAACUAACAAGGAUGUACAACAAUGUACUUUAUUUUUAAAAUAUAGAAAUACAGAGAAAAAAUAAGUGCACAAUUGCAGAUGUGUUCAUUGAGAGAUUGCAGAGCAGCAGCAAUGGCGCCACAUUGUGGCAGCGGGUCAUUUUUCUGCUAGCAAAGUUAUCUCUCAGAAUUGAGUUCUUUUCAUUCAUUGGUUUUGUGUAGCCCCUCAUGAGGCCCAUAGAUGUGAAUUAAGAGAUGAGAGUCAGUACAACAAGGAAAGUCAACAUCUGUUCGUGUACCUUACUUGUGCCUUAUAGAUUUGAUUUUACUUGAUUCCAAAUAUCUCACUUUUAUCACACCAUCAAAGAUUGCUGUGUCUGUCCAAUCUAUUGACUCAAUAGAUAAUCAUGUUCAGCUUAUGAUGAGAAUCCAUUCAGAAAGGAGAAUUAUAGAGUCAUAAAUUUUAUAUUGCAUAGUCAUAAACUAAAAUAAAUGUAGGUAAAUAAAGGAAAAAGAAA